UACGGAGGAUCCAAGCGUUUAUCCGGAAUCAUUGGGUUUAAAGGGUCCGUAGGCGGUUUUGUAAGUCAGUGGUGAAAGCCCAUCGCUCAACGGUGGAACGGCCAUUGAUACUGCAAGACUUGAAUUAUUGGGAAGCAACUAGAAUAUGUAGUGUAGCGGUGAAAUGCUUAGAGAUUACAUGGAAUACCAAUUGCGAAGGCAGGUUACUACUAAUGGAUUGACGCUGAUGGACGAAAGCGUGGGUAGCGAACAGG
rnacentral:rRNA from 1 species